rnacentral:rRNA from 1 species
CAUGCAAGUCGAACGAAGUAGCAAUACUUAGUGGCAGACGGGUGAGUAACAUGUAGGUAUCUGCCCUUUGGCCUGGAAUAACACGAGGAAACUUGUGCUAAUACCGGAUAAGUCUUUACAGAGAAAGCUUUAUGCACCAUUGGAUGAGCCUGCACUUGAUUAGUUUGUUGGUGGGGUAAUGACCUACCAAGACUGCGAUCAAUAGCUGAUUUGAGAGGAUGAUCAGCCACAUUGGGACUGAGACACGGCCCAAACUCCUACGGGAGGCAGCAGUGGGGAAUCUUGCACAAUGGAGGAAACUCUGAUGCAGCGAUGCCGCGUGAGUGAAGAAGGCCCUUGGGUUGUAAAGCUCUUUCGUCGGGGAAGAAAAUGACUGUACCCGAAUAAGAAGGUCCGGCUAACUUCGUGCCAGCAGCCGCGGUAAUACGAAGGGACCUAGCGUAGUUCGGAAUUACUGGGCUUAAAGAGUUCGUAGGUGGUUGAAAAAGUUAGUGGUGAAAUCCCAGAGCUUAACUCUGGAACUGCCAUUAAAACUUUUCAGCUAGAGUAUGAUAGAGGAAAGCAGAAUUUCUAGUGUAGAGGUGAAAUUCGUAGAUAUUA